UUUCACACAGAGGGUUGUGGGUACCUGCCAGUGGAAGUGGUUGAAGCAGGCAUGUUCACAAUGUUUAAGGUGUAUCUUAAUAGGUACAUGAACAGGAGGCGAACAGACGGAUAGAAACUGCAUAUAGGCAAUAAAUAUGGGUCGGCAUAUGGGUCUAAAUAAGUCUCUGAUUCUAUUUACAUAAUGCAUGUUCAUGAGUGAAAUAUUUUUAAACCUGAGGUAUCACUUAAUAUAUUUACAGAUGAGAUCAUAAAGAGCUACUACAGCGAUUCUCCUCUCUCCUUGUUGAGGAAAAGAUCAUGCAUUGCAAGAGGUUGAGAACCUACGUUUAGAGCAUCUUCUGAGCUCUGACCUACUGUUCCUUCAUUCGGAGGCUCACUGAAGAUGUUACCUAGUAUUAUGAUGAAACGUCUGAAAAUGAAUCCUUCAGUUCAGCAAGCAAACCGACAUUCAAAGCACUACACCCUCGUCCCACAGGACUGGCAGAGGAGGCCAGCCCAUGUCAGCCUGCUCCAGGUUUGCCAUCUAGUUGCAGCUGACAGGAGGAAUGCAUAGUAAUGUAGGAAGAAUGCCAAUGACUUUCUCCGCUCUGAUGCCUGACCCUCCAAAGUUCAUGGUCUAUCACUCUUAACAUUGCUUGCAACAUCAUCCCCAAGUGCUUUCACCAACUCCAACCCCACUCCCUCAACACCACAAACUUUGCAUGCCCUCUGCACUGCCUUCUCAUUUGCUCAGGACGUCUCCCCAUUGGCACAGCUGUGUCAUCCACUUUCAUCUCUCUUUCAUCUCCCUUAACAGCUCACUCUACGAGGGGAUGCUACAAUAGGCUGAUAAAAAAAACAAUGGCUGCCUUCAGCUCCUCACCUGUUAUGAGGAGGUGAUCCUUACUCUGACUGCCCUGAACAGCUGACUGACUGACUGUGGCACAGUCCCUGGAAUCUAAUGUCUGAAACCUAUCUCAUCAGAUACUGUGAAUUGAAAACUAACUGAUACAGCCCAUUACUACAAAAGGAGGGUUCCUGAAAGAAAAUUCAAACUCUACACCACUGUCUGCAGAAAAAUGACUUCAACUAGCCAUAAAUGAUCCAGGAAGACACCCAUGUACCAACAGCUUGUGAGAUUUUGAAUGCAGAUCAAUGUUUGGCUCAAGCUAUGAAUAAUUGUUUUUUUUUAAUUUAACAAAAUUUAACUUCCCCUGGUCAAAAUACUUUCAAGAUAAAAAUGGUAGAAAGUGAGUCAAAGUCAAUGCUUUGAGUCCAGAAUGAGAUUUCUCAAGAAGACAAUACUGAACUUGAAACAUUAAUGCUGCUUCUCUCUUCACAGAUGCUG